rnacentral:sRNA from 1 species
CGACCUGCUGCGGACAGAUGAAAUGGAUGUGGCAGUCCAUGCCGCCCGGCGUCAGGAUGCGGCCCUCGCCGGCGAUGAUCUCGGUUCCGGGCCCGAUGAUCAGGGUCACGCCGGGCUGGGUGUCGGGAUUGCCCGCCUUGCCGAUGCCCGCAAUGCGACCGUCGCGCAGGCCGAUGUCGGCCUUGGUGAUGCCCUGAUGAUCGAAAACCACGACGCCGGUGAUGACGGUAUCCAUCGCCCCGGCCUCGCGGGUGAUCUGGCUUUGGCCCAUGCCGUCGCG